GCCUCAGACCCUACAGAGAACCAGUAAGGAAGCAUCAUCAAAGGGGUGAGAAGAUAGAGGUGCAAAGAGAGGAAGGGAUCAUCUCCACGAAAGACCUCACAAAGUGAUGUGAGCUCAGAAGAUCAGAGUUGGUGUCUUCUUUCACUGAGGCCACAGGAUCACCCCAACAGGUUAUCAAUGGAAUUAUUGGAAUCAAUGGGAUCAGUGGAUUCACCUCCCUCCUUUGGGGUGCAAAAUUGCAUGUGUGCUGUGCAGCACAUCCAUUCGAAGUAGUCACAGGUCUGGUGCCGGUAGCCAUAAGAUUAACCGGGGCCACCUGUGUGGCUACGGGAUCGAGACCAUUUACUGAGGCCUGGUGGGAUCACUAGUGGGCACACAGCUGAGAGCAGUGGCUGCCUCAUUCCCUGAAUCCUUCAGUAGGAAACGGUUUAGCAGGGUGCUAAACUCCUACUCCAUCCUUGCCUGGCUACUGAUGGACCCAUUCAUGUGCAGACCCAGUGCAGUCCCAGGUUGAAAUUUCAUGACUGCAACGGCUGUGUGUGGCUCUGAAGAUGACACUUUGCAGUCUUGCUCCCUAUCCGUCAGCUCCUGGUUUCUGCCCCCUCUUCUGUACUGUUCCCAGCGCCUUGGCAGGGGUAGCAUAAACGUCUUCUUCAGA